GAGAAGGAAGUGGAAUGUCAAUGUACAGGCUUGACGUCGGCACAUGGUGUUUGAUUGCAUGACCGGCUAUACACUUAAGAGUUUUAAAUAGCACUGUAUCCGCUCAAAAAUCAUUACUCGGUAACCCCAUUGUUGAUAAACAGUAGAUACUCACCCCUAGCUGUACUAUAGCCAUGUUAUCUACAUUGUGCACCUAGUUUCAGUCCCGGCACGGUCUUCUUACCCCAUUAAUAGUAACCCAGGGGACGUGUGUUUUGGCCGGACUGAGAGCUUUGGUCUUCAGGGCGUUCUCGUGCAUCAGUUUGAAGCCGAGCUUUCCCUUCACACAGGACGUGACUUUCAGGACCAAGCUUUGUCAUCGCUUUUCAACUUGGUUCUGCAAAUUGUACAAGGUGACGAACUGCACCUGUGACCAGUGGGAAUGGUAUAUAGUGGAGUGCUAUGGGGUGGGGCUUCAAGUCUCCUGGUUCAAGACCUGGGAGAACAUGAGUGAAGGUGUCUCUGUGAGGAGGCCUUCUUAUUGCCACCCGUACCAUGUGUUUGUUAUUUUCAGCCUGAGGGCCAUGUAUUUGUAAUAAAUAUCCCUUAACUUUGCAUCAGACAA